UUCCAUUAUUUUAUGCUUGCAAUGACCUGUCUUUCCAUGUGAUUUUCCAUAUUUAUCUCUCUCUUUUUAUUUUUCUACCAAAAAAAAAAAAAAGAAAUUAAAAAUAAAAAUCACUCUCUUUUUUAUUUAUUUACUUGUCUCUUCUGACUCACCUCUCUUCUCGAUAUAUCAUUCUGCCCUGUGCGUGUAUAAGAGAGAUUAUUGAUCAUUGUGAACUUGAGUACUUUGCAGCUUUUACUUUGAUUUGAUUGUUGAGCCAUGAGAGAUAAAUAGAAAAAGAAAGUGACUGAGUUCUAGCUAGGGGAGAUAGGGAAAAGAAGCAGUUGGAAUCUCAUAUGGAAAUUUAAGUUUCCAUCCAAGAUCGAUUCAGCUAGCUUGUUCUUUUUUCUUUUUUUCUUUUUUCUUUUUUUCUUUUUAACUUUGAUGAAAGAUUCAGCUUGUGUGUUUCUCUAGUUAUUUGUUUUUAUGGACAUGGGUUUUGUAUGAGAGAUCUUAGUUUUUAGGUCUGAUGAAUGAAAAAGAGAGAUCAGGAAAGGAGGUGUUUGGAAUGAAGUUUGAUCCGAAAUCCCGUUUGUCUUCUCCAAUAGUGUAUUUUAUGUUUGGAAUUUUUAAAGAGAGAGAGCUUUGGAUCAUAUCUAUGUUGACUAUAUAUAAGAAAUAUAUAGAAGUUGAAGGAAAGGGAGUGUUUGGAAUUAGGUUUGAUCCAAGAUCACUCCAUAUUUAUUCUUUUAUUUUGAUCUCUCUCCCUUUUUUUCAUUAAUUUCUAUUGAAGUUGAUGGAAUUAAUGAUCUCGGACCAAGCUUCAUUCCACACACCAUUCUUUUCCUUGAAGAAGGCUAGCUAACAUGGUGGAAUUCAGGAUUUGUUGGGGGGCCGACUUGUAUGCAUGAAAGGAAGCUUUGCCAUGUCAAAAAUGUUUCCAGUCAGAUCCAGAUUUAUAGGAAUUUGAGACAAAAGGUACUUUGAAUGACUAGCUAGCUACUGUAAUCUUUAUCAUAUUUCCACUUAAUUAUUGU